AGUGAACGCUGGCGGUAGGCCUAACACAUGCAAGUCGAACGGCAGCACAGUAAGAGCUUGCUCUUACGGGUGGCGAGUGGCGGACGGGUGAGGAAUACAUCGGAAUCUACUUUUUCGUGGGGGGUAACGUAGGGAAACUUACGCUAAUACCGCAUACGACCUACGCGUGAAAGCAGGGGAUCUUCGGACCUUGCGCGAUUGAAUGAGCCGAUGUCGGAUUAGCGAGUUGGCGGGGUAAAGGCCCACCAAGGCGACGAUCCGUAGCUGGUCUGAGAGGAUGAUCAGCGACACUGGAACUGAGACACGGUCCAGACUCCUACGGGAGGCAGCAGUGGGGAAUAUUGGACAAUGGGCGCAAGCCUGAUCCAGCCAUACCGCGUGGGUGAAGAAGGCCUUCGGGUUGUAAAGCCCUUUUGUUGGGAAAGAAAAGCAGCAGGUUAAUACCCCGCUGUUCUGACGGUACCCAAAGAAUAAGCACCGGCUAACUUCGCG
rnacentral:rRNA from 1 species